rnacentral:lncRNA from 1 species
AUGGAGGAAUGCUUUGUCCACAUGAAGUGUCAAGAUUCUUAUGAGAAAUCAAUUCUCCUGUUUUCACACAGAUUGGAGUCCUUAUUAGCAGUGUCUUGUAGUAAGCAGAUGCUGAACACAGAAACUACUUGCGGAGACUGCCUGCUACUGCUUACCAAGUAUUUUCUUCUGGUCAGAAGGAAUCUGCAAGUUGUUAAAGCUUCAUCUGGCACUUUUAACCCAUGCAAAUAAAUACAGAAAGUGGAUGAACAUAGCUCAGUUUUAUGAACUCUUCAAGUUAACGUAAACAAUGUGUAGAAGUCACUGUGGAUAAGUCACUGAAUGAUUAAUCCAACUAAGUAUCACAUUGCUCUGUUGUGGAUAAAAUGGAUAUCUUGCUGUUGGCUAAUAAAGAAAAUCCAUUAAUAUUUCCUUACUUCA